rnacentral:lncRNA from 1 species
GAACCAUUUUCCCACAUCCUUAACGUGAAAUAUUUCAUUUACCCGCCCUAUUUUGCGCCAAAAAAUCCUUUAAAAAAAUGAAGGAGGAGCGGUUUCGCGUAGAAGAUGAGACCAGCCACCAUGAAGUACUAUCUAGCAUCAUACACACAAGCCCUAGAAUCAUCACUUCGAGCAUAUUGUCUCAUCAAAUUCACCCAGAACACACCAAUCAAACCCGAAGCUAAUCCCGCAAACCAUCCCAAAUUAGCAAAUUCCUAUUACAUGAAUCCCCUGUUCCACUAAAACCAAAAAAAACAAUCCCCUGGGGAGAAAGUUCUAGCAGAUUGGACAUGAGAAUGGAGCGGCGAAGAUGAAGAUUUAGAAUAAAAUAUUAUGGAGAAAUAUUUUUAGGCAACUUAGGCGUUGGGAAAAUGUUUGGAGGCGUAUUCCGGUUAUUGCGCGGCGCUAGAGGCAGUGGCGGCAACGGUGAAGCAGUCGUUGGCAGAGAAGGUAAAUUGUUUUAAGAUAACUUUUUUCCUUUUAUGUCAUUUAGAAUUUUGAGGGUGAGAUGUGGGGGUCAGUGUGGCUAAAGGGAAUCGGGUAUUGGAAUGAAUUUCACUGUAAUUUAUAUUUGGAUUGAUUUUUUUGGAAGCAGAUGGAAUGGAUAGUGAGAAAGCUAACACUAUAAGGUCAAAACAUUGAGUCACGGAGCAGCGUACAAGGAGUAAGAUCAAUGAGAGGUGAUAUUUUGUAGAAAAGAGAUGUAAAUAUAAAUUAGUAAGCCUUACUGCACGCUCCUGUUGGUAUUGCAAUCUCAGACUGUAAAUCUUUCAUUGAAUAGAGAACUUGUCACUCAAUUUCUUGUUAACGACAAGUUACUGACUUGAUAAGCAUCUAGGGAUCAAAUGUUGAAAAUGGGGAGUGCAACUCGAGUUAUUUUCUUAAUACAAUAUUAGUAUUUUCUAUUUUGCAAAAAGAUUAAAUUUGUAUAUAAAUUCUGAAUUUCAGGAAAAGACAAUCUUGAAGAAAUUGAGGUUUCGUCUUAACUAGCCAACUCCUUAUAUUUUGAUGCUCGGAUUUCUCAAGGCUUCUCAAUUUGAAACAAAGGUAAGGUAUCCAAUAAAAUUUGUGAAAUAAUGUAGACUAUGAUGGAGAUUAUGACUUGAUACUGUGAAUUUUUCUUUCUAUGUUUGUGUAUGCUUAAAUGUAUGUGUAUUUAAAAUACCAGCUGCUAAGUAUGCUUUGAUUUUUCUAAAUUUAGCUACACUGAAUAAGAGGUUGCUUCUAAUUUCUUCUGACAUUUCAAAACAUGUCAUUUUCCCUUCAGAACAUACACAUAUACAAUAUGGAAAAGUAUACGUUUCAAGCUUUGGUAAGUAACUUUUCAAUUUCUUAUAUAAGCUUUUCAACAUUAAUGUGUUGAUGAUGAUUCUUGGAAGUUAGACAUAGGAUACUUGCACUCUGAUAUGAUUUAUAUGCAAGUAUGAGUGUUUAUGCAAUCUCUUUCAUUGUUUGCUUCAUGGAUAUGCAUAUUUAUUAAUUUGGUUUCUUUUACUUUCUUUUAGGCUGUUAGAUGUCUAUAAAUCAUAAAUGGGUUGAUACUUACUAAUUCCUGAUGCUCUUAAUGUAUUACAUUAACUUCUUACUUAUUUGUGGUCUAUUUCUACUUAAGGUUGGAUGAUAGAUAGAUCAGUAAAUAGUUUGACCAAUUUUAUACAAUCUAACAAUGAGUUUGCUAAAUAAAGAACCGAAAUAUUAGUUAGAUUUUACAUUUCUUACUCUAGUAGAUUCCAUGUAGCGUGCUUUUAUUGCAUAGAGAUGAAGCUUAUGAUCAUUUAAUUGCCAAUAGGAUUGAUUCAGAGUUUUAGGAAUGAAUAUAUAUGGUGUUGGGGGGAGGGGAUAAUAUCAUAUUUAGUACCAAUAUAUUCAUAGAGAGGGUGAAAGAAAUUAAAAAAGAAGAGAUAGAAGAAGAAAGACAGAAAGAGAAAUACAAGCAAUGAAAUUUAACAGAAAUAAAUGACUGAGUUUCUAGAUCAAUAUUUCUCUCGUGACUAAGCUUUCCAUUAGUCCAAGAAUAAUGCAUAGUGAAAUCCGCUGCUAACAUUCCCUUAAUUUCCCCACUUUGCCUCUUUUAUUUGCUUUUCAACUAUAAAUAUUGAGUUGCAUAAUUAAUGUUUUACUUUCUGGAGUGGUUAUUCUUUGAUGACAUAUUAUUAUUUUCUUAAUUACAUAUUGAACAGAUGUUGGGUUGCUAUAAUUUUAAAAAGUGAGAAUGAUUUAUAGACAACUGGAGAAAUUAUGUUGUCUAUUUUCUUGUACUUAUUUGUUUGUAUCUUAUUAUGUGUAUUUUAAUAAUAUUGUGUUUCUAUGAUCUUAACAGGAAUAAAUGAUGGAGUUGUCGAUAUGAAGUUAACCAAAAGUGCUUGAAAGAGGAGUUCUGGGAGUUUGAAAGAAAAUCAAAAGUGUUUGAUCAAUUGUAUAAUUAUUUAGACAUGUAGAGCU